GUGGGGAAUAUUGGACAAUGGGCGAAAGCCUGAUCCAGCCAUGCCGCGUGUGUGAAGAAGGUCUUCGGAUUGUAAAGCACUUUAAGUUGGGAGGAAGGGCAGUAAGUUAAUACCUUGCUGUUUUGACGUUACCGACAGAAUAAGCACCGGCUAACUUCGUGCCAGCAGCCGCGGUAAUACGAAGGGUGCAAGCGUUAAUCGGAAUUACUGGGCGUAAAGGGUGCGUAGGUGGUUUGAUUAGUCUCCCGUUAAAACUUCGAGCUUAACUCGAAAAGAGCGGGGGAAACGGUCAAACUAGAGUAUGUGAGAGGUGUGUGGAACUCAUGGUGUAGGGGUGAAAUCCGUUGAUAUCAUGGGGAACACCAAAAGCGAAGGCAGCACACUGGCACAUCACUGACACUGAGGCACGAAACCUAAGGUAGCGAAUGGGAUUAGAAACCCUGGUAGUCC
rnacentral:rRNA from 1 species